rnacentral:rRNA from 1 species
AGCUUCAUUGUCAAGAGGGAAACAGCCCAGAUCACCAGUUAAGGCCCCAAAAUAAUUGCUAAGUGGCAAAGGAGGUAAUAGUACGUAGACAACCAGGAGGUUUGCCUAGAAGCAGCAAUAUUCCUUUAAAAAUUGCGUAAUAGCUUACUGGUCAAGUGCUUUUGCGCCGAUAAUGUACGGGACUAAGUAAUUUGCCGAAUCUGUGAGAAAACGGUAGAAGAGCGUUCUGUUUGGUUUGAAGCAAUAACGUAAGUAGUUGUGGACCUUUCAGAAGUGAGAAUGUCGGCUUAAGUAACGAAAACAUUGGUGAGAAUCCAAUGCUCCGAAAACCUAAGGUUUCCUUCGCAAGGUUCGUCCACGAAGGGUUAGUCAGGUUCUAAAAUGAGGCCUAAAGGCGUAGUUGAUGACAAACAGGUUAAUAUUCCUGUACUAUAGAAGAUUAAAGAAUAAGAAGGACGAAGAAGGCUAAGUUAGCCAAACGAUGGUUGUUUUGGUUUAAAUUAUUAAGGCUUUGAGAACUAUUAUCAAAAAAUAGUUUGAGCUGAGAUAAUGAAUACUACGAUAUUACGGUAUCUAAUUAACUCAUGUCAUACUUCCUAGAAAAGUUCUAUUAUCGUUAAUAUCAAUAUACCUGUACCGUAAACUGACACAGGUGGGUAAGUAGAGUAUACUAAGGAGCGCGAGAGAACUCUUUUUAAGGAACUCGGCAAAAUAGCCUUGUAACUUCGGGAGAAAAGGUGCCCUAAUUUAUUAGGGUCGCAGUGAUCAGAUUCAGGCGACUGUUUACCAAAAACACAGGUUUCCGCAAAGUUGAAAAACGAUGUAUGGGAGCUGACGCCUGCCCAGUGCCAGAAGGUUAAAGAAACUGGUUAGCUCUUGCGACGCUAGUGACUGAAGCCCUGGUGAACGGCGGCAAUAACUAUAAUUGUCCUAAGGUAGCGAAAUUCCUUGUCGGGUAAGUUCCCACCCGCACGAAAGGCGUAACGAUCUGAAAACUGUCUCAAAAAGAGACUCGGUGAAAUAGAAUUAACUGUGAAGAUGCGGUUAACUUGCACUUGGACAGAAAGACCCUAUGAAGCUUUACUGUAACUUGGUAUUGGUUUUGGACUUUUUUUGCGCAGUAUAGGUGGGAAGCGUUGAAUUGUUUUUUUCGGAAAAUGAUGAGCUAUCAGUGAGAUACCACUCUAAAAAAGUUAGAAAUCUAAUGAUAUUUCAUUAUUUGGAUAUUUGAAAGUGCCAGGCGGGCAGUUUUACUGGGGCGGUAGCCUCCUAAAAGGUAACGGAGGCGUGCAAAGGUUUUCUCAGACUGGACGGAAAUUUGUUUUUGAGUGUAAAGGCAUAAGAAAGCUUAACUGUUAGACUUACAAGUCGCGCAGAGACGAAAGUCGGUCUUAGUGAUCCGACGAUUCUGAAUGUGAAGGUCGUCGCUUAACGGAUAAAAGUUACGUGUGAUUCGGUUAUUUUAAUGAAAAUUAAAAUGAGCUCAUUUAUUGAAACAUAAAUGGCGAAUGAUAAAUGAAGGUUGGUGAGAGUCCAACAUGCUAAAACCAAGCAUUAUCUAUGUAAAAGCUACUAACUGGCAGUAUUUGUGUAGCUGCCCUUAUAGACAAUCAGUACUCAAGAUUGUAUGAAUGAACGGGCACAAAAUCUUAAUCCUUCAAAAGGCAAAUAAAAGGAAGAGAAAAGAUACAUUUAAUUGGUCUAUAAAUGUCAUUUGACUAAAGAAAAGUUGUGAAUAAAACAUCCUAAAUUGUCCGUCUGGCAAAAGUGUCUGUUCUGAAAAAUGAACUAGUCAGGCGCUAAAGAUAGCAUUUCUAAAUAAGCAGUGAAGAGGGUAACGUAUUCACAGGUUGAGCUUAGAAAGGGUAGUAAAGCAACAGGCCAAUUAAAUCACCAAAAUGGGAGUAUUCAGUUAUCGAACGAAGUAAUCCAAUUAUAUACCUCUGCUGCAAAGUAGAUAAAGAGUUAAUGUGUUAUAAUUGAGAAUAGGAUGGGCGACCAAGCAAAAGACUGUAUGGAAAUAACCAUACUAUAAAAAGACUGAAAAGGUUAGGAGUAAUGUCCGGUAUAAGCUAAAUUUGCCCGCAGUUUGUAAAUGUUACAAACUGAGUAGCCGGAUGACGAGUAAUUGUCAAGUCCGGUUUCGAAGGAGAAUUAUACGGGAAAUACGUAUAAUCACUCUCUAACUCUAGGGAUAACAGGCUGAUCUCCUCCAAGAGUUCACAUCGACGAGGAGGUUUGGCACCUCGAUGUCGGCUCAUCGCAGCCUGGAGCGGUAGUACGUUCCAAGGGUUGGGCUGUUCGCCCAUUAAAGCGGUACGUGAGCUGGGUUCAGAACGUCGAGAGACAGUUCGGUCCAUAUCCGGUGCGAGCGUUAGAGUAUUGAAAGGAGCUUUUUCUAGUACGAGAGGACCGAAAAAGACACACCACUGUUGUACCAGUUCUUAUGCCAAUAGGU